GAUGAACGCUGGCGGCGUGCCUAAUACAUGCAAGUCGAGCGAACGGACGAGAAGCUUGCUUCUCUGAUGUUAGCGGCGGACGGGUGAGUAACACGUGGAUAACCUACCUAUAAGACUGGGAUAACUUCGGGAAACCGGAGCUAAUACCGGAUAAUAUUUUGAACCGCAUGGUUCAAAAGUGAAAGACGGUCUUGCUGUCACUUAUAGAUGGAUCCGCGCUGCAUUAGCUAGUUGGUAAGGUAACGGCUUACCAAGGCAACGAUGCAUAGCCGACCUGAGAGGGUGAUCGGCCACACUGGAACUGAGACACGGUCCAGACUCCUACGGGAGGCAGCAGUAGGGAAUCUUCCGCAAUGGGCGAAAGCCUGACGGAGCAACGCCGCGUGAGUGAUGAAGGUCUUCGGAUCGUAAAACUCUGUUAUUAGGGAAGAACAUAUGUGUAAGUAACUGUGCACAUCUUGACGGUACCUAAUCAGAAAGCCACGGCUAACUACGUGCCAGCAGCCGCGGUAAUACGUAGGUGGCAAGCGUUAUCCGGAAUUAUUGGGCGUAAAGCGCGCGUAGCGGUUUUUUAAGUCUGAUGUGAAAGCCCACGGCUCAACCGUGGAGGGUCAUUGGAAACUGGAAAACUUGAGUGCAGAAGAGGAAAGUGGAAUUCCAUGUGUAGCGGUGAAAUGCUCAGAGAUAUGGAGGAACACCAGUGGCGAAGGCGACUUUCUGGUCUGUAACUGACGCUGAUGUGCGAAAGCGUGGGGAUCAAACAGGAUUAGAUACCCUGGUAGUCCACGCCGUAAACGAUGAGUGCUAAGUGUUAGGGGGUUUCCGCCCCUUAGUGCUGCAGCUAACGCAUUAAGCACUCCGCCUGGGGAGUACGACCGCAAGGUUGAAACUCAAAGGAAUUGACGGGGACCCGCACAAGCGGUGGAGCAUGUGGUUUAAUUCGAAGCAACGCGAAGAACCUUACCAAAUCUUGACAUCCUUUGACAACUCUAGAGAUAGAGCCUUCCCCUUCGGGGGACAAAGUGACAGGUGGUGCAUGGUUGUCGUCAGCUCGUGUCGUGAGAUGUUGGGUUAAGUCCCGCAACGAGCGCAACCCUUAAGCUUAGUUGCCAUCAUUAAGUUGGGCACUCUAAGUUGACUGCCGGUGACAAACCGGAGGAAGGUGGGGAUGACGUCAAAUCAUCAUGCCCCUUAUGAUUUGGGCUACACACGUGCUACAAUGGACAAUACAAAGGGCAGCGAAACCGCGAGGUCAAGCAAAUCCCAUAAAGUUGUUCUCAGUUCGGAUUGUAGUCUGCAACUCGACUACAUGAAGCUGGAAUCGCUAGUAAUCGUAGAUCAGCAUGCUACGGUGAAUACGUUCCCGGGUCU
rnacentral:rRNA from 1 species